UAUUCUGCCCCAUGGGGAAGGAUGAGAAGCUUCGACUAAGGUUCGACUCGAGCGCCAGCGAGAGAACGUUGCCACAGGCAACGGCCCGAAGGGCGAGG
rnacentral:sRNA from 1 species